AUUGAACGCUGGCGGCAGGCCUAACACAUGCAAGUCGAACGAGUGGCGGACGGGUGAGUAAUGUCUGGGAAACUGCCUGAUGGAGGGGGAUAACUACUGGAAACGGUAGCUAAUACCGCAUACCAUCGGAUGUGCCCAGAUGGGAUUAGCUAGUAGGUGGGGUAAAGGCUCACCUAGGCGACGAUCCCUAGCUGGUCUGAGAGGAUGACCGGCCACACUGGAACUGAGACAAGGUACGGACUCCUACUGGAGGCAGCAUUGGGGAAUAUUGCACCAUGGGCGCAAGCCUGAUGCAGCCAAGCCGCGUGUAUUAAGAAGACCUUCGGGUUGUAAAGUACGUGCAACGAGAAGGCGUUACCCGCAGAAGAAGCACCGGCUAACUCCGUGCCAGAAGCCGCGGUAAUAC
rnacentral:rRNA from 1 species